rnacentral:rRNA from 1 species
UACGUAGGGGGCUAGCGUUGUCCGGAAUCAUUGGGCGUAAAGCGCGUGUAGGCGGUCCGGUAAGUCCGCUGUGAAAGUCGGGGGCUCAACCCUCGAAUGCCGGUGGAUACUGGCAGGCUAGAGUACGGAAGAGGUAGCUGGAAUUCCCGGUGUAGCGGUGAAAUGCGCAGAUAUCGGGAGGAACACCAGUAGCGAAGGCGGAUCUCUGGGCCUUACCUGACGCUGAGGCGCGAAAGCUAGGGGAGCGAACAGG